GCGUCGCUCACGCUGGGAGCUGUAGACCGAAGCUGUUCCUAUUCGGCCAUCUUGGCUCCUCCCUCCCGGUAGUUCUUAUAUGAUUGAAUGUUUGCAUUUAUUUCUGUAUUUCAUUAGAAUUUCACAGGCAAACUUGGGGGAUGGCAGUGUUAGUAUUCUCUCAGGAUAAUCUGGAAGAUAUUUUUAAAAACUUUUGGUUAGCCAGACAAUUCAAUUCACCAAAAGUUUACUACAUGUCUUAGGAUGUUUUCAGCUGGAAAAGCAAAAUGGAACAAAAUUUGAAAGUGGCUUAAACAAUAAAGGAUUUGUUACUUUACAUAAUAUCACAUCUGAAAGUGGACGUUUUCAUAGUGUGCUAAUCCAGUCCUCUUCUAAAUGAUCCAGGAGUCUCGAACCUUUCUACUCUGGAGGCAUUGCCUCUCCUCGUCUUUGCUGAAGCCAGAGGUCAUGUGCUCACACAAUCAUAUGGAGAAGCAUAAAUGAGCUAUUUCUCAUCACCUAGCUCUUUUUAUCAGGAUUAAAAAUCUUUCCUCAAAAAGUCCAGAAGCAUACUUCCCUCUAGCCUAGUUGGCCAGGAUUACAUAACAUGCCUCCGAUGGAACCAAUCACUGGUGAAGGGAGUGCAAUUAUUGUGAUUCUAGAUUAACUGUAAUAAUUGACAUUCACCCCCUGGAGCUGGGAUAGAAAGCCGAUUUACAGCAUCGCUGAGCAGGAAAAAAGAGAUGGCUGUUGAACAGGAGGCAACAUGCAAUGACAUAAUUAAGUACAUGUGCGGGUUUGGCAUAUGGGUAAAUUGCAUGUCACAGUUGUUUGGUGUACACAUUAUUUCAUCACCCAGUUGUUAAUGGAAUUCUAGCCAAAAGGAUGUGGGAGGAGAGGAAGGAGCCACAAAGGGAGAAUCAUGCCUAAGAGUUAACUAUGGUACUCUGAAGCAGAACAGAGACUGGAGGAGAAUAUACAGCCAUGAAAACUACGUACAAUAUGGCGUCUUGAAUUGGAUCCUGGAGCAGACAAUGGGAUUACUGGGAAAACUGGUGAAGACUGGAAAAUAGAAAAAAUAGAGUCUCCAGGGAACUAAAAAUAGAAUUAAUGUACAGUUCAGCAAUCUUGCUGGGUAUCUACUCAAAGGAGAAGAAAUCAUUAUAUUAAAAAAUAGCUGUACUUCUAUGUCUAUUGCAGCAUCAUUCACAAUAGCAAUGAUACGAAAUCAAUCUAAAAUGUCCAUCAGUGGAUGACUGGAUAAAGAAAAUGUGGUAUUUAUGCAUACAGACACAUACACACAUAUACACACACACAAUAGAAUACUGUUGAGCCAUAAAAAAGAAUGAAAUCAUGUUCUUUUGCAGCAACAUGGAUGGUACUUGAGGCCAUUAUUUUAAGUAUAACCGCUCAGAAACAGAAAGUCAAAUACUGCACAUUCUUACUUAUAAGCGGGAGCUAAAUAAUGUGUACACAUUGACAUAGAGUGUGGAAUAAUAGACAUUAGACAAUCAGAAGGGUGAAACGGUGGUAAGAGGGUAAGGGAUUAGAAAUUACUUAAUGGGUACAAUGUACGUUACUCAGGUGAUGCAUACACUAAAAGCCCAGACUUCGCCACUGCACAAUAUAUCAAUGUAACAAAACUGCACUUAUACGCCUUAAAUUUAUACAAAUAAAAAAAUUUAAAAAUAGAG
rnacentral:lncRNA from 10 species